CCAGCUCCAAUAGCGUAUACUAAAGUUGUUGCAGUUAAAAAGCUCGUAGUUGAAUUUCUGGUCUCGAGACGCGGUCUGCCCCAAGGGGUUUGUUCUUGCGGAUUGGGACCAUCCUCGAGAAGAACAUAUCUGUCAUUGAGUUGAUGGGUAUGGGAAUCUCGUCAUUUACUGUGAGCAAAAUAGAGUGUUCAAAGCAGGCUUACGCCGUUGAAUACAUUAGCAUGGAAUAAUAAGAUAGGACCUUGGUCUAUUUUGUUGGUUAGUUCUCCAAGGUAAUGAUUAAUAGGGACAGUUGGGGGUAUUCGUAUUCAAUUGUCAGAGGUGAAAUUCUUGGAUUUAUGGAAGACGAACUACUGCGAAAGCAUUUACCAAGGAUGUUUUCA
rnacentral:rRNA from 1 species